CAGUCGCCGCGGGAAUACGAAGGGGGCUAGCGUUGUUCGGAUUUACCGGGCGUAAAGGGCGCGUAGGCGGACUGAUAAGUCAGGGGUGAAAUCCCAAGGCUCAACCUUGGAACUGCCUUUGAUACUGAAGAUCUUGAGUUCGGGAGAGGUGAGUGGAACUGCGAGUGUAGAGGUGAAAUUCGUAGAUAUUCGCAAGAACACCAGUGGCGAAGGCGGCUCACUGGCCCGAUACUGACGCUGAGGCACGAAAGCGUGGGGAGCAAACGGGAUUAGAUACCCCCGUAGUCCCUGUCUCUUAUAC
rnacentral:rRNA from 1 species